CAAGCGAUCCAAGGCUGCGGAGGCGCCCGUGGAUGAUUCGUUGGCGGCAAAGGAAGUAGCGGGCGCUGCUCCGGCGAAGGAUUCAGCGGCUGGAUCGGCUGAUCUGUCUGGAGGCGGCGGCGGGAAGCAGCCGGAUGACGUGGCGGCGGCUGAAGCGGUGGCUGCAGGUUCCAAUCUAGAUACUGAUAAAGGGAAUUCGAUUUUGAUGCCUGCAAAUCGCG